GGGGGCAUAGCUCAGUUGGGAGAGCAGCAGACUGAAGUGAAUUAGCACAUUCUGAAGGUCCCGCGUUCAAUCCGCGGUGCCCCCA